AGCUCAGUGGUAGAGCACUUGCCUCUCAUGCAUGAGGCACUGGGUUCAAUCCUCAG
rnacentral:tRNA from 1 species